rnacentral:sRNA from 1 species
AGCCAUAUUGGUUGGAUUGGGAAACUCAUCAAUUAAAUCCAAACUACCGAGACGAGCUUCAUUUCUCAAUGGCGGGCCACAACCUCUCGGGGUGCAGCAAUGCCGGUGGAUUACAAAGAGAGAAGAGCACUCAAAUCAUGUCAUACGGAGUUUUAUCACAUCGCCAAUAUGGUUUUUC